GCCUCUGUAGCUCAGUUGGUAGAGCGUAUGCCCGAAGAGCAUAGCGUCACAAGUUCGAUCCUUGUCGGAGGCG
rnacentral:tRNA from 1 species